GUUUGUUGCAGGAUAUAAUCAUUACCGCUGUCACUCAAAUCUGAUACCAAUAAUAUUAAUACUUUUGUGUAUUACUCUAUACUUUUGUUUGUACUGAAGAUAACGUCACUAACCAUCCCUCGUCUCAUUUUCGUUGUAAUAAUCCAAGUAACUAUUGGUUGCUCAGUUUACACAGACUUCUAUUACAUAUUCGAUUCAACACACCAUGUUUGCCAAC